AGGACGAACGCUGGCGGCGUGCCUAACACAUGCAAGUCGAACGGGGCCAGGGGCAACUCUGGUUCAGUGGCGGACGGGUGCGUAACACGUGAGGAACAUGUCUUUCGGUGGGGGAUAGCCGGCCCAACGGCCGGGUAAUACCGCAUACGCUGACCUGGGUGCAUACCCGGGUUCGGAAAGCAGCAAUGCGCCGAUUGAGUGCCUCGCGGCCUAUCAGCUAGUUGGUGAGGUAAUGGCUCACCAAGGCGACGACGGGUA
rnacentral:rRNA from 1 species